rnacentral:rRNA from 1 species
GACGAACGCUGGCGGCGUGCUUAACACAUGCAAGUCGAACGGAAAGGCCCUGCUUUUGUUGGGUUCUCGAUUGGCGAACGGGUGAGUAACACGUGAGUAACCUGCCCUUGACUUUCGGAUAACUUCAGGAAACUGGGGCUAUUACCGGAGAGAAGCUCUUGCUCCAUGUUGUUGAUUGGAAAGUUUCGGCGGUGGGGGAUGUACUCGCGGCUUACCCGCUGGUUGGGGGGGUAGUGGCUUACCAAGCUUUUGACGGGUAGCCUGCAUGAGAGGGUGACCGGCCACAUGGGGACUGAGAGAGGGCGCAGACGCCUACGGGAGGCAGCAGGGGAGAAUAUUGCACAAUGGGCGGAAGCCUGAUGCAGCAACGCUGCGUGCGGGAUGACGGCCUUCGGGUUGUAAACCGCUUUGGAAUGUGACGAAGCGUGAGUGACGGUAAUGGGUAAAGAAGCACCGGCUAACUACGUG